GAUGAACGCUGGCGGCGUGCCUAAUACAUGCAAGUCGAGCGAACGGACGAGAAGCUUGCUUUUCUGAUGUUAGCGGCGGACGGGUGAGUAACACGUGGAUAACCUACCUAUAAGACUGGGAUAACUUCGGGAAACCGGAGCUAAUACCGGAUAAUAUUUUGAACCGCAUGGUUCCAAAGUGAAAGACGGUCUUGCUGUCACUUAUAGAUGGAUCCGCGCUGCAUUAGCUAGUUGGUAAGGUAACGGCUUACCAAGGCAACGAUGCAUAGCCGACCUGAGAGGGUGAUCGGCCACACUGGAACUGAGACACGGUCCAGACUCCUACGGGAGGCAGCAGUAGGGAAUCUUCCGCAAUGGGCGAAAGCCUGACGGAGCAACGCCGCGUGAGUGAUGAAGGUCUUCGGAUCGUAAAACUCUGUUAUUAGGGAAGAACAUAUGUGUAAGUAACUGUGCACAUCUUGACGGUACCUAAUCAGAAAGCCACGGCUAACUACGUG
rnacentral:rRNA from 1 species